rnacentral:rRNA from 1 species
ACGAUGAGUGCUAAGUGUUGGAGGGUUUCCGCCCUUCAGUGCUGCAGUUAACGCAUUAAGCACUCCGCCUGGGGAGUACGGCCGCAAGGCUGAAACUCAAAGGAAUUGACGGGGGCCCGCACAAGCGGUGGAGCAUGUGGUUUAAUUCGAAGCAACGCGAAGAACCUUACCAGGUCUUGACAUCCUUUGACCACUCUAGAGAUAGAGCUUUCCCUUCGGGGACAAAGUGACAGGUGGUGCAUGGUUGUCGUCAGCUCGUGUCGUGAGAUGUUGGGUUAAGUCCCGCAACGAGCGCAACCCUUAUUGUUAGUUGCCAUCAUUCAGUUGGGCACUCUAGCGAGACUGCCGGUGACAAACCGGAGGAAGGUGGGGAUGACGUCAAAUCAUCAUGCCCCUUAUGACCUGGGCUACACACGUGCUACAAUGGACGGUACAAUGAGUCGCGAGACCGCGAGGUUUAGCUAAUCUCUUAAAGCCGUUCUCAGUUCGGAUUGUAGGCUGCAACUCGCCUACAUGAAGCCGGAAUCGCUAGUAAUCGUGGAUCAGCACGCCACGGUGAAUACGUUCCCGGGCCUUGUACACACCGCCCGUCACACCACGAGAGUUUGUAACACCCAAAGUCGGUGAGGUAACCUUUUGGAGCCAGCCGCCUAAGGUGGGAUAGAUGAUUGGGGUGAAGUCGUAACA